rnacentral:rRNA from 1 species
GGCUCAGGAUGAACGCUGGCGGCGUGCCUAACACAUGCAAGUCGAACGUGAACCUAAUUUCGGUUAGGUGAAAGUGGCGAACGGGUGAGUAACACGUUGGUGACCUGCCCCGAAGUGGGGGAUAACUCUGGGAAACCAGAGCUAACACCCCAGAUGUUUAAGGGUUUAGACGCCUUAAACUAAAACUCUGGUGCUUUGGGAGGGGCCUGCGGGCUAUCAGCUAGUUGGUGGGGUAAAAGCCUACCAAGGCGAAGACGGCUAGGGGGCGUGAGAGCGUGACCCCCCACAAGGGAACUGAGAAACGGUCCCUACUCCUACGGGAGGCAGCAGUGAGGAAUAUUGAGCAAUGGGCGCAAGCCUGACUCAGCAACGCCGCGUGGAUGAUGACGGCCUUCGGGUUGUAAAAUCCUUUUCUGGGGGAAGAUAAUGACGGUACCCCAGGAAUAAGUUCCGGCUAACUACGUGCCAGCAGCCGCGGUAAAACGUGGGGGACAAGCGUUAUCCGGAUUUACUGGGCGUAAAGCGCAUGUAGGUGGCUUGACAAGUUGGACGUGAAAGCUCCCGGCUUAACUGGGAGAGGUCGUUCAAAACUGGCAAGCUUGAGGAUGGAAGAGGAGAGCGGAAUUCCCGGUGUAGUGGUGGAAUGCGUAGAUAUCGGGAGGAACACCAGUGGCGAAAGCGGCUCUCUGGUUCAAACCUGACACUGAGAUGCGAAAGCGUGGGGAGCGAACGGGAUUAGAUACCCCGGUAGUCCACGCUGUAAACGAUGGAUACUAGGUGUAGGCGGUCAUUAACCCCGUCUGUGCCGAAGCCAACGCGUUAAGUAUCC